UGGCUAUGUGGCUGGGACUGUGCAGCCAAAAUCAGUGCAACUGUGGCAGCGCCAUGCAGCUGCGGCUGUCUCAGCGUGACUCACAGUGGACUUUGCUUAGCUGCUUUUAGCCAGCUGUGCUGCAGACAGAAGGACAAAAGGAGCGGCAGUAGUUUUUUUCCUUUCUUCUAGUGCCUUGCGUGAAAGAAAGGUGCACGGGUGGUGCCAGCAGCCAGCGCAGUUUGUGCAGUGCCAGUGAUCAGCAGCAACAGACACAGUGAUUCCUCAAUUGCAGAGCCUGAACAAAAUCAGCCUUUAAACAUUUUCAAGACUCUAUACUGUUUUAAUUGAUAAAGCUUGAGAACAAAUGAACCUACGAACACUAAUUUUCUCCCGAGUCAGGAAAAGGAAAAGGUGAAGACACAUGGAGAAAACAACAUGGACCCUGAGGUGAUUUGCUGUGACAUUGAAGCCACGAGAGGCCUGUUUCUUGUGGAAAAGUCUUUAUAGCAUGAGAAGAGAGACUCCUCUCCCUAAGUAGACUGAAGAAAGACUAUUCUAGAAGUGACAAAUUGACUGAAAGUCCCAAGUUUUGUCUUCUUACGUUGUCAGUGGGAAAGAAAAGAAGGUGGGGUGAGAGGAAAAGUGUUCUGAAGGUUUUAUUCUGAUUUUUAUUAUUUUUUGUCUUAAUUCUGUUAAUAAAGUUUUCUUUAUACUCUUUAA